CUCAUCUGGAGAUCCCCUCUUCUGGUGUUUUCUGUAGGUGAGCCUGGCAUAUGGGUAAAUUUUCAGAAUUUCAUCCAAAGCUUGCAUCCCCUGUGAAAUUGUCCUCGACGAAAAGACUUACAUUAACUGUGAUCAGAAUGUACCAGCUUUUGAAAGAAUUCUCCAUCAUCUUCAGGCUGAAACACUAAUGUGAUAUUUACAGCUUAUAAUCCACUUCUGCAUGAACAGACAGACCAAGGGACAUAUUUUGAAACAGUCUCCCAGUGAGUGAAAUCUUCACACAGAAGGGGUUAUAGGCCAUUUGACAUUAGACCAGAUGAUCUUCUUUCCUUCCUAGUGAAACCCAGAUAUUGUAAUAUGCUUCUGGAAAUCCUCUAUUAAGAAAUGCCUGAAAGGCAAAUACUGAGGUGAGCGUCACACAGUGCCCAUUCAUUACUUACUAGCUGCUGGUUUUAAUGCAGACAACUAGUGCAGGACUGGAUUUCACAAGAACAUCUCAUCACUACAGACAGUUAAUGUAAUACAAAAGUCCACUGGAGUACAAUAGUCUCCUACUUCUUUUCUCCAGUAUUUAUUGUUACUGCUCUUUUUAUUUGUAACCUAUUUAUAACCAGGUUGCAUUAUUAUUGGUGGUUACCAUCAGUCCCUCUUCUCAAUAUGUAUUCUUAAAAUAAAAAAAUCAAUGAAAGAAAAGCGUAAUGUUUAUUAGGAAGUAAACUUAUUUUGAAAACUUUGGGUAUCAUUUGUCACUGUUAGAAUCUAUAUUCUUCAUAUUGUUUAAAGUAUUUCGUUUGCAUCACUUCAGCUAAUUAUAUGCUUGGAUAAAUGGUUUUCAUUAUGAAUUACUGUUCAAGUUCUGUGAAUGAUGAUUGAUUUCUUUUUCUCUCAAGCAAGUAAUCAUGCUUCAUUCAUUGUAUCUGAAUGUUUAUAAUCUCUUUUCAAAAACAUGUGGGUGCCUGUAUCAUUACAGAGAUGCCAUUACUCAGACUGUGGUAUAUUUAUGCUUGAGAAUGACAUCAAUACUCCAGUGGCUUAAGAUUUCCCAGUACUAAUAAACUUGUAAGCAAAAUAACUGAACUUUUGAAAUACAGUGGAAAGUAUCUUCUACUUUUUUUUUUAAUUAUAUUAAAGAAUGAAACAAAACAGAAUUUAUGCAAUUUACUGUGAAACCAGUAACUUAAAGAUACUUUCUUACUUCUGAUCAUUGUUAUAAACAGCUCAGAGCCAAGUCUUUAACUAGUUCCUUGACUAUUAAAUUGAGAAAUUAGUCAAGUAAAAGGCAGGCAUUCAACAGCAAUUGAUUUGGUUAAUCCACACAACUGUUUUAUUUAUGUUACUUCCUAGGAAUUAUUAAUUAAUAAGAAAGGGAAUCUCUGUUGUAUGUUGUUAUUCCUAUGAAUGGUACCACACAUCACUGACCUUUGUACUUAGAUAAAGCAUGUGGAUACAAAUGUCUCACUGACAACUCACUGGCUCAUGUUGUGCUCUCCAUCAGUUGUCACAGCUUUUUGCAGUCAGUGUUAGGAGAAAACAUUCUGUGCCACAGCUGUUGAUUGUAAGGACUCUCACUUAAAAAAACAAAGAAACAAACAACAAAAAAAGAUUAGAAUGAUUCAUGCUAUAACAAAGUAUUCAAACACUUGCACUCACACUAGGUACUCAGUGAUUUUUUUGCCUUAUUAAUUAUUAUUUAGGCUAAUUAUUCUCAAGGUACCCAAGCCCCUGAGUUGGAAGACAGUGACAGAGUGAGAUGAUUUCAAAUUGGAAACUGUAAGUGACCAGCGUUCUUUGGUUCUGUGGGUCUGUUACAUCAUGAGAGUGUUUAUAAGUCUAUUGGGCUGGAUGAGAUCUAUCCAAGAAUAAAUACCACAAGAGCUAGCGAAAAUUCUCACUAAGCUGUUGUCAAUAUUAAUCAGCCUUCCUCUCUGGCUGGGGAGGUACUAGUGGAG